AUGCCACGACCACGGCGGUGGCGAUGUCCGGCCUCGGCUACAACUUGCACAGGAUUUGGCCUCUGGAUGGAUGUUAUGGUUCAUGUGAUGUUACUCUGCUGGCUGUCAUCGGGAACAUGCCAUUGCUUUUGCUGUACCUCACCCAAGAUCACCCAUGACUCCCAGCUCGAGUCCUUGGAGCCUUGCUCCAGCGUCAAUGAAAGGAUCCAGUACAGUAGGGGGGAAGGGGUUUCUCGUGCCAGGCACCUUGGCAUCUUUUGCUGUGCCGUGGUGCUGUUUGGCAUUGGCCACAAUAGCUACAGCGAGCUCCUUUGCUUCCUCUGCUCGCCUCUUAUUGCUCUGAUAGAUGGUUACAAUUUGGUUAGCAAGGUGUUGUAG
rnacentral:rRNA from 1 species